AGAAUCAACGCUGGCGGCGUGCCUAACACAUGCAAGUCGAACGAGAAAAUGGUAGCAAUACCAUGAGUAAAGUGGCGCACGGGUGAGUAACACGUGACUAACCUACCCUUGAGUGGGGGAUAACUGAGGGAAACCUUAGCUAAUACCGCAUAAUACCCACGGGUCAAAGGAGCAAUUCGCUCGAGGAGGGGGUCGCGGCCGAUUAGUUAGUUGGCGGGGUAAUGGCCCACCAAGACGAUGAUCGGUA
rnacentral:rRNA from 1 species